rnacentral:rRNA from 1 species
UACGUAGGGUGCGAGCGUUAAUCGGAAUUACUGGGCGUAAAGGGCGCGCAGGCGGUCGUGCAAGUCGCGUGUGAAAGCCCCCGGCUCAACUGGGGAGGGUCACGCGAUACUGCUCGACUCGAAGGCAGGAGAGGGAAGUGGAAUUCCCGGUGUAGUGGUGAAAUGCGUAGAUAUCGGGAGGAACACCAGUGGCGAAGGCGACUACCUGGCCCACUCUUGACGCUGAGGCGCGAAAGCUAGGGGAGCGAACGGG